rnacentral:rRNA from 1 species
UACGGAGGGUGCCAGCGUUGUCCGGAAUUACUGGGCGUAAAGCGCUCGUAGGCGGUCGCGUACGGCAGUGGUGAAAGCUCCCGGCUCAACUGGGAGAUGCCCAUUGCAACGGCGUGACUUGAGGGUGGUAGAGGCAGAUGGAAUUCCUGGUGUAGCGGUGAAAUGCGUAGAUAUCAGGAGGAACACCCAUGGCGAAGGCAGUCUGCUGGGCCACACCUGACGCUGAGGAGCGAAAGCCAGGGGAGCGAACGGG